ACUGAUUUAACAUAUUUUAAUGUGGAGGGUUGUAAACUCUUUUAAAGUCUGUAAGAUUAAUCAGGA
rnacentral:tRNA from 1 species